ensembl:snRNA U6 U6 spliceosomal RNA
GUGCUCUUGUUGAUACACAUAUACUAAAACUGGAACAAUACAGAGAACAUUAGUAUGGCCCUGGUUGUAAGAUGACAUGCAAAUUUGCGAAGUAUUCCACAUUUUU